rnacentral:rRNA from 1 species
AGUGGCGGACGGGUGAGUAACGCGUGAGAAUCUGCCUUGGGGUCGGGGACAACCACUGGAAACGGUGGCUAAUACCGGAUACGCCUUCGGGUAAAAGAUUUAUUGCCCUAAGAGGAGCUCGCGUCUGAUUAGCUAGUUGGUGAGGUAAGAGCUCACCAAGGCAGCGAUCAGUAGCUGGUCUGAGAGGACGAUCAGCCACACUGGGACUGAGACACGGCCCAGACUCCUACGGGAGGCAGCAGUGGGGAAUUUUCCGCAAUGGGCGAAAGCCUGACGGAGCAAGACCGCGUGAGGGAGGAAGGCUCUUGGGUUGUAAACCUCUUUUCUCAGGGAAGAAGCUCUGACGGUACCUGAGGAAUCAGCCUCGGCUAACUCCGUGCCAGCAGCCGCGGUAAUACGGAGGAGGCAAGCGUUAUCCGGAAUUGUUGGGCGUAAAGCGUCCGCAGGUGGCGAUUCAAGUCUGCUGUCAAAGCACGGGGCUUAACUCCGUAAAGGCAGUGGAAACUGAAUAGCUAGAGUGCCGUAGGGGUAGAGGGAAUUCCCGGUGUAGCGGUGAAAUGCGUAGAGAUCGGGAAGAACAUCGGUGGCGAAAGCGCUCUACUGGACGGCAACUGACACUCAGGGACGAAAGCUAGGGGAGCGAAUGGGAUUAGAUACCCC